rnacentral:rRNA from 1 species
ACGCUCGACACCUACGGGAGGCAGCAGUCGGGAAUAUUGCGCAAUGGAGGAAACUCUGACGCAGUGACGCCGCGUAUGGGAAGAAGGUUUUUCGGAUUGUAAACCAUUUUUAGACAAGGAAGAAACAAGACAGUACUUGUAGAAUAAGCUCCGGCUAACUACGUGCUAGCAGCCGCGGUAAUCUGAGCGGGCUGGCAAGGC